UACGGAGGGUGCGAGCGUUAAUCGGAAUUACUGGGCGUAAAGCGUGCGCAGGCGGUUUUGUAAGCCAGAUGUGAAAGCCCCGGGCUUAACCUGGGAAUGGCAUUUGGGACUGCAAGGCUUGAGUGCGGCAGAGGAGACUGGAAUUCCCGGUGUAGCAGUGAAAUGCGUAGAUAUCGGGAGGAAUACCGAUGGCGAAGGCAGGUCUCUGGGCUGACACUGACGCUCAUGCACGAAAGCGUGGGGAGCAAACAGG
rnacentral:rRNA from 1 species